UACGUAGGGUGCAAGCGUUUGUCCGGAAUUAUUGGGCGUAAAGAGCUCGUAGGCGGUUUGUCGCGUCUGCUGUGAAAACCCGAGGCUCAACCUCGGGCCUGCAGUGGGUACGGGCAGACUAGAGUGCGGUAGGGGAGAUUGGAAUUCCUGGUGUAGCGGUGGAAUGCGCAGAUAUCAGGAGGAACACCGAUGGCGAAGGCAGAUCUCUGGGCCGUAACUGACGCUGAGGAGCGAAAGCGUGGGGAGCGAACAGG
rnacentral:rRNA from 1 species